rnacentral:rRNA from 1 species
GUGGGGAAUCUUGCGCAAUGGGCGAAAGCCUGACGCAGCCAUGCCGCGUGAAUGAUGAAGGUCUUAGGAUUGUAAAAUUCUUUCACCGGGGACGAUAAUGACGGUACCCGGAGAAGAAGCCCCGGCUAACUUCGUGCCAGCAGCCGCGGUAAUACGAAGGGGGCUAGCGUUGCUCGGAAUUACUGGGCGUAAAGGGUGCGUAGGCGGACAGUUUAGUCAGAGGUGAAAGCCCAGGGCUCAACCUUGGAAUUGCCUUUGAUACUGGCUAUCUUGAGUAUGGAAGAGGUAUGUGGAACUCCGAGUGUAGAGGUGAAAUUCGUAGAUAUUCGGAAGAACACCAGUGGCGAAGGCGACAUACUGGUCCAUUACUGACGCUGAGGCUCGAAAGCGUGGGGAGCAAACAGGAUUAGAUACCCUGGUAGUCC